AACGAACGCUGGCGGCAGGCCUAACACAUGCAAGUCGAACGAUCCUUCGGGAUAGUGGCAGACGGGUGAGUAACGCGUGGGAACCUUCCCUGUGGUACGGAAUAGCUCCGGGAAACUGGAAUUAAUACCGUAUACGUCCUCCGGGAGAAAGAUUUAUCGCCCUUGGAUGGGCCCGCGUUAGAUUAGCUAGUUGGUGGGGUAAAGGCCUACCAAGGCUACGAUCUAUAGCUGGUUUGAGAGGAUGAUCAGCCACACUGGAACUGAGACACGGUCCAGACUCCUACGGGAGGCAGCAGUGGGGAAUAUUAGGCAAUGGGGGAAACCCUGACCUAGCCAUGCCGCGUGCGUGAAGAAGGUCUUAGGAUUGUAAAGCGCUUUCAGCGGGGAAGAUGAUGACGGUACCCGCAGAAGAAGCCCCGGCUAACUCCGUG
rnacentral:rRNA from 1 species